AGUGAACGCUGGCGGUAGGCCUAACACAUGCAAGUCGGACGGCAGCACAGUAAGAGCUUGCUCUUACGGGUGGCGAGUGGCGGACGGGUGAGGAAUACAUCGGAAUCUACUUUUUCGUGGGGGAUAACGUAGGGAAACUUACGCUAAUACCGCAUACGACCUACGGGUGAAAGCAGGGGAUCUUCGGACCUUGCGCGAUUGAAUGAGCCGAUGUCGGAUUAGCUAGUUGGCGGGGUAAAGGCCCACCAAGGCGACGAUCCGUAGCUGGUCUGAGAGGAUGAUCAGCCACACUGGAACUGAGACACGGUCCAGACUCCUACGGGAGGCAGCAGUGGGGAAUAUUGGACAAUGGGCGCAAGCCUGAUCCAGCCAUACCGCGUGGGUGAAGAAGGCCUUCGGGUUGUAAAGCCCUUUUGUUGGGAAAGAAAAGCGGCAGGUUAAUACCCCGCUGUUCUGACGGUACCCAAAGAAUAAGCACCGGCUAACUUCGUG
rnacentral:rRNA from 1 species